rnacentral:tRNA from 1 species
GCCUGAGUGGUGGAAUAGGUAGACACAAGGGACUUAAAAUCCCUUGGGGCUUGUCCCCGUGACGGUUCGACUCCGUCCUCAGGCACCA